CUCGGGGUCAGCCCCCCCAGCCUGCGGGGCUCCGUGGGCCUCCAGCACUGCACACGUGUCACUGGGGUGCGCGACGGGCCCUUCCCUGAGCCCCUUUCCAUGGAGCCCAGGCCCCAACGGCGGCAGCUGCCCCUGCCUGACAUCCGGACCCAGCCUCACCUCUCCUUUCACAGCGAGCCCUGCUGGCACUGGGGGCCUGCAUUCCAGUUUUCCUCCCCAGCUGUGGGAUGCUGUUGGCGCCUUGGUGCCAGCCGCUGAGGUGAGCAGGUGGGUGAGGGGCUCCGUGAAGCUCUGGCAUCUGGUGUCCGGCCCAGGACUUGGGGGUGCUGGCCUCGCCGCCUGGCCGGGUCAUACAUAAGGGGUCGGUCAGCUCUGCCCCAGGCCAGGAUGCUGCUGGGCCCACAGCCGCCCCAGGACCCCCUCAGCCCAGGUGCCCUCCCUCAGUGCUCAGUUCCGGGGAUGACUGUGUCCCCCACCCCGUCACGCUGCUCAGCGAGCACCCUGUAAUCCCAUAUGGUAACUCAUGAAUCUACCCACUAAGAAACCACAACAUGUGAUUCCUCGAGGGAGGCUGGGGGGUAGUCGCGGAGUCGUGGCUGGGCCCAGCCGCGGACUCAGGUCUGUGAUGGGCUAACCUGUGCCCCCACAUCCGCAGGUGGGCGGCCUGACCCUAGACUCAGAGCGUGACUUCUUUGGAGACAGGGUCAUUGAAGGUGUGUGUGACGAUGAGGCCACGGGGUCACCCCUGACCAGUGUGACCAGUGUCCUUAUAAAAGGGGCGUGGACCCAGGCGGGCCUAGAGGGAUGGUGGCACAGAGGCAGGAGAAAAUGCCCACCAAAGCCCAGGAGGAGGCCUGGGACAGGCCCUUCCCGGCGCCUUCAGAGGGAGCCUGGCCCUGCCAGAUGCCUGGUCUCACGUCGGCCUCCAGGACUGCGAGACCUUCCUGCUGUGUGGGUGCCCAGUGCCAGCACUUGCUAAGGGUCCCCAGCCCCAGGAAAGCAGUGCCGUCCCCUGAGCCAAGUGGACCUCUCUCUGCUUCUGUGGCUUCUCUAUAUUUAGUUAUCAUGUUUCAAAGGCUUAUCAAAUCCCUGGGCAUAAAACGUUUUACGAAUCUGUCUAAAUAACGUUCCAAGGUGUCUCAUACUCGACGGAAUCUUGGACGGUGCUGCCCCUUGCAGGUGGCUGGGACUGCCUGGGUACAGCCUCUCCUUGGUUUUCAGCUUGGCUCUGCCUUCACCCCACAUGGGGUUCCGUCUGGCCCUAGCGGGGAGGGUGCUUGGCUCGGGCAGUGGGCUGGGCGGCCCCUGGCCCAGGACGGCUCUGGAGAAUAAGGAGGCCACCACAGGCCGGUAGGCCUGAGACCUCUGCCCCUUCUGAGGCCGCGGGGUUGAGCAGCUGAGCAGCUGACUCUCCCAUGGUCAGUGAGGGCUCAGCAUUUUCUCUUCUGGUUGAAAUAGAAACUGGGAAGUUGGAGGCCAAGAUUGAGGGGCAGGCGGAGGUGGUUCUCCUGCCAAGCUUCCUAAACGGCAGAAGCAGCAGAAGCAGCUAGGGUUAGUGUUGGCUUCUCUCUCUCUCUCUCUCUCUCUCUCUCUCUCUCUCUCUGUGUCUCUCUGUCUCUCUCUGUCUCUCUCUCUCUGUGUCUCUCUCUCUCUGUCUCUGUCUCUCUGUCUCUCGGUCUCUCUGUCUCUGUCUCUCUGUCUCUGUCUCUCUCUCUCUGUCUCUCUCUCUCUCUCUCUCAUUUAUUUCUAGAGCAUUUACAAAUUAAUUUUCCUGGUCUAAACCGGGAGGGGCUGCCAUGAUAAAAUGAAGCUGUUUGGUGUUCCAUGUCGAUCUCCCUGAGACAAUGCACUCCUGAGCCUGCUGGGCCCUGCCUCACAGCUGAGUCCUGGUCAGGGCCCUGCCCCUUCUUCCUCUCCCUUGGCCCUGGUUCCACAGAGACCUAUUUCUCCAGGGCAUCCAGGAAGCACCUACGGUGAUGGGGGAUUGCAUUUCAGCAGCAAUCCAUGUGUGAACAUUAAAACGAUCUCCUUAAAUAUUCAUGGUGACCAUGACCUCAUCUGGCUGCCUCGGGCCAGGGCUGGGUGCAGGUCAGGGAAGGGGGCUCAGGCCCUGAGACCCCAGCCUGGUCCCCAGCAAUACAGCUCCCCUCUGUCCUCUCCUCUCUGAGUCAACCCCUCCUGAGAGCUCCGAUGUCUCCUCUCUGGGGUGGCAGAGGUGGGGGCUGCUUUCCAAGCAAAGAAAUGCUCUGGGGCCACGUGGGAAUAAAUAUUUCAUGGGAGAGCAGACCUAGCCAGUAAAAAAUUAAGCAGCUUUACAUCAUCAGAGAGAGAAAGAAAGGGUUGCCUCAUGUUAUGAGUCUGCUGGUGUCCUUAGGACAGAGACAGGGAGACUGAGGUUUUGGGGUAAAUUAUUUAGGGUGUUGUAGGCUGGUCUAGGAAUGUUAAGCUGAAAUGAGACCGGCCCUGGAAGACGACAGGGGGAGCUGGGGUAAGAAGUGCUGCCUUAUGGAAGGCGUGGCGUGCAGAGACGCUGGCCACGAGGAACCCUUUCCCCGUGCACCUGCGCAGUAGCGCCUGCCUCGCGGGAGGCCCCACAGAUGUUGUUGAAUAAAGGGGCAGUGAGUCAGUGAGGCCAUUUCAGCCAUUUUUCUGUUGCCGCCUCACUCUGGAUUUAUGAAAGUACUUGCUAAUCGACGAUCGUCUUCGCCCGGCAUGCUGCAAAUUCACGUUUAUAUGCCCCCUGCCUCCCCCAAAUCAGCUACGGCAGAGUCAGGGGCAGGGACGGGUGGGCAUGGCCGGGCAGCUGCUCGGCUGCGUCACGCCGGGGGUGGCUGGAGCUGAUUCGGAAGCAGUGAAAUGUGGGCCCGCGUGGCUUCCCUGGAAAGAAAACAGGUCCUUGCCUAGAAAUUCAGUGGGUGACCUAAGAUGAUUGAGGGCUGUGUCCAUGUAAAUUUUUCAGUAAGGUGAGGGGCCAGUUUGUCAGUAAACUCCCUGGUGCUGUAAUUAGGGGGCUAUGUUCAGGAACUGGCUUCCUAAUGUGCAUUGAGGGCAGUGCUGACGCAGCCCAUGUACAUGCUAAAUACACGUGGGAGUGUUUGUGAAGAGACAGGCCUGCACAACACAGGGGACCUGACACUGAGCAUCCAUGUGGCCCUUUCUGGUACCCAGAACUGUGCACCCCCCUGUGCAGCAUCUCACAGGACUAAACAGACAGUAACACAACCCCGAACAGACAGUAAAAACCCGGAACAGAGAGGAACAACCCUGAACAGACAGUAACAACCCGGAACAGAGAGGAAGAACCCCAAACAGGCAGUAACAACCCCCAACAGGCAGUAACAACCCCGAACAGAGAGUAACAACCCUGAACAGAGAGGAACAACCCCGAACUGAGAGGAACAACCCUGAACAGACACUAACAACCCAGAACCAGGCAGUUACAAGCCUGAACAGACAGUAACAACCGGGAACAGACAGUAACAACCCUGAACAGACAGUAAAAACCCGGAACAGAGAGGAAGAACCCCAAACAGGCAGUAACAACCCCCAACAGGCAGUAACAACCCCGAACAGAGAGGAACAAUCCCAAACAGGCAGUAACAACCCCGAACAGAGAGGAACAACCCCGAACUGAGAGGAACAACCCCAAACAGGCAGGAACAACCCUGAACAGACACUAACAACCCAGAACCAGGCAGUUACAAGCCUGAACAGACAGUAACAACCGGGAACAGACAGUAACAACCCUGAACAGACAGUAAAAACCCGGAACAGAGAGGAAGAACCCCAAACAGGCAGUAACAACCCCCAACAGGCAGUAACAACCCCAAACAGAGAGGAACAAUCCCAAACAGGCAGUAACAACCCCGAACAGAGAGGAAGAAUCCCAAACAGGCAGUAACAACCCUGAACAGACAGUAAAAACCCCGGAACAGGGAGGAACAACCCCAAACAGGCAGGAACAACCCCAAACAGGCAGUAACAACCCUGAACAGAGAGUAACAACCCCGAACAGACAGUAACAACCCCGAACAGAGAGUAACAACCCUGAACAGACAGUAACAACCCAGAACAGGGAGGAACAACCCGGAACAGAGAGGAACAACCCCAAACAGGCAGGAACAACCCCAAACAGGCAGUAACAACCCCGAACAGAGAGUAACAACCCCGAACAGACAGUAACAACCACGAACAGGCAGUAACAACCCCGAACAGAGAGGAACAACCCUGAACAGAGAGUAACAACCCCGAACAGACAGUAACAACCACGAACAGGCAGUAACAACCCCGAACAGAGGGGAACAACCCCGAACAGAGAGUAAUAACCCCAAACAGGCCGUAACAACCCCGAACAGGCAGUAACAACCCCGAAGAGAGAGGAACAACCCCGAAAAGAUAGGAACAACAUCGAACAGAGAGGAACAACCCCAAACAGGCUAUAACAACCCCGAAGAGAGAGGAACAACCCCGAAAAGAGAGGAACAACCCCGAAAAGAGAAGAACAACACUGAACAGAGAGGAACAACCCCGAACAGGCAGGAACAACCCCGAACAGGCAGGAACAACCCCAAACAGAGUAACAACCCCGAACAGAGAGGAACAACCCCGAACAGAGGGGAACAACCCCGAACAGAGGGGAACAACCCCGAACAGAGAGUAACAACCCCGAACAGAGAGGAACAACCCCAAACAGGCAGUAACAACCCCGAACAGGCAGUAACAACCCCGAACAGAGAGGAACAACCCCAAACAGGCCGUAACAACCCCAAACAGAGGGGAACAACCCCGAACAGGCAGGAAAAACCCCAAACAGGCAGUAACAACCCCGAACAGAGAGUAACAACCCCAAAGAGAGAGGAACAACCCCGAAGAGAGAGUAACAACACAGAACAGAGAGGAACAACCCCGAACAGGCAGGAACAACCCCGAACAGGCAGGAACAACCCCAAACAGAGAGUAACAACCCCGAACAGAGAGGAACAACCCCGAACAGGCAGUAACAACACCGAACAGAGAGGAACAACCCCAAACAGAGAGGAACAACCCCAAACAGAGAGGAACAACCCCGAACAGAGAGGAACAACACCGAACAGAGAGGAACAACACCGAACAGAGAGGCACAACCCCGAACAGAGAGGAACAACCCCGAACAGAGAGGAACAACCCCGAACAGAGAGGAACAACACCGAACAGAGAGGAACAACACCGAACAGAGAGGCACAACCCCGAACAGAGAGGAACAACCCCGAGCAGGAAGUAACAACCCCGAAGAGAGAGGAACAACCCCGAACAGGCAGGAGCAACCCCAAACACAGAGUAACAACCCCGAACAGGCAGUAACAACCCCGAACAGAGAGGAACAACCCCGAACAGGCAGUAACAACCCCGAACAGAAAGGAACAACCCCGAAAAGAGAGGAACAACACUGAACAGAGAGGAACAACCCCGAACAGGCAGGAACAAUCCCGAACAGGCAGGAACAAUCCCGAACAGUCAGGAACAACCCCAAACAGAGAGGAACAACCCCGAACAGGCAGUAACAACCCCGAACAGAGAGUAACAACCCCGAACAGAGAGGAACAACCCCGGACAGAGAGGAACAACACCGAACAGAGAGGAACAACCCCGAACAGACAGUAACAACACCGAACAGGCAGGAACAACCCCGAACAGGCAGUAACAACCCCGAAGAGAGAGGAACAACCCCGAAAAGAGAGGAACAACACCAAACACAGAGGAACAACCCCGAACAGGCAAUAACAACCCCGAACAGAGAGGAACAACCCCAAACAGAGAGUAAUAACCCCAAAUAGGCUGUAACAACCCCGAACAGGCAGGAACAACCCCGAACAGAGAGGAACCCCGAAAAGAGAGGAACAACACCGAACAGAGAGGAACAACCCCGAACAGGCAGGAACAACCCCGAACAGAGAGUAACAACCCCGAACAGAGAGUAACAACCCCAAACAGGCAGUAACAACCCCGAACAGGCAGUAACAACCCCGAACAGAGAGGAACAACCCCGAACAGGCAGUAACAACCCCGAACAGAAAGGAACAACCCCAAAAAGAGAGGAACAACACCAAACAGAGAGGAACAACCCCGAACAGGCAGGAACAAUCCCGAACAGGCAGGAACAUCCCGAACAGUCAGGAACAACCCCAAACAGAGAGGAACAACCCUGAACAGGCAGUAACAACCCUGAACAGAGAGUAACAACCCCGAACAGAGAGGAACAACCCUGGACAGAGAGGAACAACACCGAACAGAGAGGAACAACCCCAAACAGACAGUAACAACACCGAACAGGCAGGAACAACCCCGAACAGGCAGUAACAACCCCGAAGAGAGAGGAACAACCCCGAACAGGCGCAGUAACAACCCCAAACAGAGAGGAACAACCCCAAACAGAGAGGAACAACCCCGAACAGACAGUAACAACCCGGAACAGAGAGUAACAACCCAAAACAGGCAGUAACAAUCCCGAACAGGCAGUAACAACCCCGAACAGACAGUAACAGCCCUGAACAGAGUGUAACAACCCCGAACAGAGAGGAACAACACCGAACAGGCAGUAACAACCCCGAACAGAGAGUAACAACCCCGAACAGAGAGGAACAACCCCAAAUAGUCAGUAACAAUCCCGAACAGGCAGUAACAACUCCGAACAGAGAGUAACAACCCCGAACAGAAAGUAACAACCCCGAACAGAGAGUAACAACCCCGAACAGGCAGUAACAAUCCGGAACAGAGAGUAACAACCUGGAACAGGCAGUAACAACUCGGAACAGGCAGUAACAGCCCUGAACAGGCAGUAACAACCCGGAACAGAGAGUAACAACCCUGAGCAGGCAGUAACAACCCGGAACAGGCAGUAACAACCCCAGCUAAACCAAUAGAACCGGCCUGGCAGCCACUCCUGUUCCAGUGCAGCACUCCACCAUGCAGAGGGGUCGGAGAAGCAGUUGUAGGUCACAGCAAGGAGUGGGCCGUGGGGAUCAUGGCCAGGUCGUGAAAUCCAAGUGGCACCCGCCAUGGCACCAGCCAGAACAGGUCCCCUCCUUUCCAAAGGGCAGAGCUGGGGCUGGCCCUGGAGAUGCUGGGGUCAGCAAGGGCUGGGGCUGCGCUCCCUCCUGGGUCUGUGUCAAAAGCAGCCAGCACCGAAGCCUGUCCACAUCGGCCAGGCCCUGUGCAAGCCGCGCUUCCCAGCAGACGGCACGGAAUUGCUGGUGAGAGUGGACGCUGGGCCGGAACAGAGCGGCGCUUCCUG
rnacentral:lncRNA from 10 species